rnacentral:rRNA from 1 species
UACAGAGGGUGCGAGCGUUAAUCGGAAUUACUGGGCGUAAAGCGUGCGUAGACGGUUAUUUAAGUCGGGUGUGAAAGCCCCGGGCUCAACCUGGGAAUUGCAUUCGAGACUGAAUAGCUAGGGUACGGUAGAGGGAAGCGGAAUUUCCGGUGUAGCGGUGAAAUGCGUAGAUAUCAGGAGGAACACCGAUGGCGAAGGCAGGUCUCUGGGCUGACACUGACGCUCAUGCACGAAAGCGUGGGGAGCAAACAGG